rnacentral:rRNA from 1 species
UACAGAGGUCUCAAGCGUUGUUCGGAAUCACUGGGCGUAAAGGGUGCGUAGGCGGGUUUUUAAGUCAGGGGUGAAAUCCUGGAGCUCAACUCCAGAACUGCCUUUGAUACUGGCGAUCUUGAGUCCGGGAGAGGUGAGUGGAACUGCGAGUGUAGAGGUGAAAUUCGUAGAUAUCAGGAGGAACACCCGUGGCGAAAGCGGCUCUCUGGGACGGUACUGACGCUGAGACGCGAAAGCGUGGGGAGCAAACAGG